rnacentral:lncRNA from 1 species
UAGGCCAUCAAUUCGUGUCUUCCUUUUCUUUUGUAAGAAUGACACGAGAGAGACCUUCUAUAGAGCAUACCAAAAGACCCGAGGCCCAGGAUCAUUUAAUGAGGCCUGAGUUUACUGAACUCUUCCGAGCUAUCUAAGGAUUGAACACAACUGUAGGACAAAACCAAGCCAACCCUUGUCAACAUCCUGCCCCAGAAUACUGACCAGUCGAAACGUCUAUCUCUCACAACAUAGUGGAGUUUAGGAAGCUUAACCCACCGCACUUCAAAGGUGGCCUUGACCCUUUAGUAGCUAAAGCUUAGAUCCUAC